rnacentral:lncRNA from 1 species
AAAAAGUUUGUAUUCAAUUUAUUUUUACUUUUUGUAUUUAGUAUUGAAGAAAAAAAAGAAGAAAAAAAAUUUGGAAUUAAAAAAAAAGAAAAAAAUCGAAAUUGAAAAAAAAAAGAGUGAUUGAAAUUCAUUUUGGGUUUGUAAAAGCAUUGCUUGUUGCCCGAAGGACCAUAUCUAUAUAGCCACACUUAACCAUUCCUAUUUUGUUUGAUAGCCUACCAUUUCCGACUUCAUUACCCACCAAGCCAAAUCAAUUUUGUAAGCCGACGCCAAACGGUAUUGAUUCGUCGAUUUAGUUUGCGAAGAACUUUGAGAGGCGAAAAUCGAG